rnacentral:rRNA from 1 species
GACAGAGGUGGCGAGCGUUGUUCGGAAUUACUGGGCUUAAAGGGCGAGUAGGCGGUAAGGCAAGUCUGAGGUGGAAUCCUAUGGCUUAACCAUAGAACGGCCUCGGAAACUGUUUUACUUGAGUCAGUGAGGGGAGGGCGGAAUUCCUGGUGUAGCGGUGAAAUGCGUAGAUAUCAGGAGGAAGGCCUGUGGCGAAGGCGGCCCUCUGGCGCUGAACUGACGCUGAGGCGCGAAAGCGUGGGGAGCAAACAGG